rnacentral:lncRNA from 1 species
ACUGCCACCCUCUCCCAGGUCUAGAGAGGGGUACCCACGGUGGAGGGAGGUGGGAGGCCGAGACGGCCCCGGGGGUCGGCGGAGACCCAGCGGGAGCAGGGGGAAAUCGGAAGAGCUGGGGGCAUGGAGCGGGCGAGUUUGGAGCGGAAUGAGCCGGGAGCCCUACGUUGUGGAAGGAAGACAACAGUAUAGGACCAUCAGCAGGACCGGACAGAGAGGGGCACGGUUUCUCUGUAUAGCCCUGGCUGUCCUGGAACUUGUAGACCAGGCUGGCCUUGAACUCAGAAAUCCGCCUGCCUCUGACUCCCGAGUGCUGAGAUUAAAGGUGUGCACCACCACACCCGACAAGGAAGCCUGUUUUAAGAAGUGAUUCCAUGGAGGAGUUCUGCGGCGGCUCAGGGCUUGACUAAACAGUGGACCUCAGGGUCCCAUUUCUCUCAGUAGACAAGAGAGGCUAAACCAGGCUGCAGGUGACAGGAAGAAUUGAAUAAACUGAAAGCAAAGGGCAGCCUUCUAAUUACGCUUCGUGGCUAUGUGGACAACCUGGAGAAGUCUGGAAACAAAGAAGCCAGAAGCCCGAAGCCAGCAGUAGAGCUCUGACUGGCUUGUAUGCCUAGAAAGGAAGGGCUCUUCUUUCGCCUCACGGGCACAAAUGGGACCCACGAGCGCCGAUUUCAGACUAUUCUGAUCCCUUCAAAAAGAAAGUUAGGAGUCCAGGCUACUGUGAGUGAAUUUGAUUCUAAUUGUUUCAGAGAAUAUGGAAUAAAAUAUCUCAUUUGCA